GGAAUUUACAUCUGACAUUUGGAAUCACUUUACGAAAAUGGAAAGGUUUGAUAUUGGUCAAAAAAGGUAUGAUAUAAUUUGUAAAUAUUGUGGAAAAAUAUAUAAAUAUACAGGUGGACAAGGAUAUGGAACAUUUAAACGACAUCUUAGGAGCAAACAUCCAACCGAAACGGGAAUCGAUAUCGGGCAACAACAAAUUUCCGGUUGCGGUCGAACAAGCAUUCAGUGCCGGAGGUAAUAUUUUGGACGAACAUCGUUCAAGAUUAGCUCCAGAAUCAGUGGAGAUUCAAGCUUGUGUUGCUGAUUGAACGAAGGCUCAAUACCGGCAACAAGAUAUAGAUCGGAAUAAUGAAUCCGAAUUCUUUAACGACGGAGAUACUACCGCUACCGGUACCGGUACCGGUACUGGAACGGGUAGUGACGAUUGAGGGUAAAAGAACUAUUGGAGUUGGCAAAUAUUUCGGGAACCCUUGUUUCUCAUACCGGGUACGCCCACGUGAGCUUAGGGAAACCGAAGUAUAAUCCGACGACAUGUGACCUCUGGUCCCCUGCGCACGGAAUGCUUAGGUUUUGAGAUCAUUUUAGGACAUAUAUAUUGUGCUCCUUUUUUUUAUAGAUCGUUGUAACGAAUUGUAAUGUGCUUAAUGAUAAUUUAUUAAGUUUAAGCCCUCUCUUUCUCUCUUGUCUUUUUGUCCCCAAAUUUGAUUACAAUUUACAUUUUAAUUACAAUUUAUAUUGAAUAA